AGCAGCCGCGGUAAUUCCAGCUCCAAUAGCGUAUAUUAAAGUUGUUGCAGUUAAAAAGCUCGUAGUUGAAUUUCGGGAUUGACACAUCGGUCGUGCCCUAAGGGGUAUGAACUGGUGUAGUCAAUUUCUCACCUUCUGGAGAACCGCGCUGUCCUUAAUUGGGUGACGCGGGGAACCAGGACCUUUACUUUGAAAAAUUAGAGUGUUUAAAGCAGGCAUUUUGCUUGAAUACAUUAGCAUGGAAUAAUAAAAUAGGACGGCAUGAUUCUAUUUUGUUGGUUUCUAGGAUCACCGUAAUGAUUAAUAGGGAUAGUUGGGGGCAUUAGUAUUCAAUUGUCAGAGGUGAAAUUCUUGGAUUUAUUGAAGACUAACUACUGCGAAAGCAUUUGCCAAGGAUGUUUUCAUUAAUCAAGAACGAAAGUUAGGGGAUCGAAGACGAUCAGAUACCGUCGUAGUCUUAACCAUAAACUAUGCCGACUAGGAAUCAGACGAUGUUAAUUUUUAAUGUACUCGUUUUGGC
rnacentral:rRNA from 1 species